rnacentral:rRNA from 1 species
UAAUACGUAGGGGGCAAGCGUUGUCCGGAUUUACUGGGUGUAAAGGGCGCGUAGGCGGGCUUGUAAGUCAGAGGUGAAAUCCUGCAGCUUAACUGCAGAACUGCCUUUGAUACUGCAAGUCUUGAGUUCGAAAGAGAGAGAUGGAAUUCCAGGUGUAGUAGUGAAAUACGUAGAUAUCUGGAAGAACACCAGAGGCGAAGGCGAUCUCUUGGUUCGAUACUGACGCUGAGGCGCGAAAGCGUGGGGAGCAAACAGGAUUAGAGACCCUGGUAGUCCACGCUGUAAACGAUGAAUACUAGGUGUUGGACAAUAGUUCAGUGCCGCAGCAAACGCAUUAAGUAUUCCACCUGGGGAGUACGAUCGCAAGGUUGAAACUCAAAGGAAUUGACGG